UUACGGCCAUAUCACGUUAAAACACCGGUUCACCUCCAGUCACCAAAGUUAAGCAACGUUGAAUUUGGUCAGUACUUAGAUGGGUGACCGUUCAGAAAUACCAGAUGCUGUAA